AUUGAACGCUGGCGGCAUGCCUUACACAUGCAAGUCGAACGGUAACAGGUCUUCGGAUGCUGACGAGUGGCGAACGGGUGAGUAAUACAUCGGAACGUGCCUAGUAGUGGGGGAUAACUACUCGAAAGAGUGGCUAAUACCGCAUGAGAUCUACGGAUGAAAGCAGGGGAUCGCAAGACCUUGUGCUACUAGAGCGGCCGAUGGCAGAUUAGGUAGUUGGUGGG
rnacentral:rRNA from 1 species